rnacentral:rRNA from 1 species
AGUGAACGCUGGCGGUAGGCCUAACACAUGCAAGUCGAACGGCAGCACAGUAAGAGCUUGCUCUUACGGGUGGCGAGUGGCGGACGGGUGAGGAAUACAUCGGAAUCUACUUUUUCGUGGGGGAUAACGUAGGGAAACUUACGCUAAUACCGCAUACGACCUACGGGUGAAAGCAGGGGAUCUUCGGACUUUGCGCGAUUGAAUGAGCCGAUGUCGGAUUAGCUAGUUGGCGGGGUAAAGGCCCACCAAGGCGACGAUCCGUAGCUGGUCUGAGAGGAUGAUCAGCCACACUGGAACUGAGACACGGUCCCGACUCCUACGGGAGGCAGCGGUGGGGAAUAUUGGACAAUGGGCGCAAGCCUGAUCCAGCCAUACCGCGUGGGUGAAGAAGGCCUUCGGGUUGUAGAGCCCUUUUGUUGGGAAAGAAAAGCAGCAGGUGAAUACCCCGCUGUUCUGACGUUACCCUAAGAAUAAGCACCGGCUAACUUCGUG